AUUGAACGCUGGCGGAAUGCUUUACACAUGCAAGUCGAACGGUAGAGGGGGCAACCCCUUGAGAGUGGCGAACGGGUGAGUAAUAUAUCGGAACGUGCCCAGUCGUGGGGAUAACGUAGCGAAAGUUACGCUAAUACCGCAUACGAUCUAAGGAUGAAAGCGGGGGAUCGCAAGACCUCGCGCGAUUGGAGCGGCCGAUAUCAGAUUAGGUAGUUGGUGAGGUAAAGGCUCACCAAGCCAACGAUCUGUAGCUGGUCUGAGGGGACGACCAGCCACACUGGAACUGAGACACGGUCCAGACUCCUACGGGAGGCAGCAGUGGGGAAUUUUGGACAAUGGGCGAAAGCCUGAUCCAGCAAUGCCGCGUGCAGGAAGAAGGCCUUCGGGUUGU
rnacentral:rRNA from 1 species